ensembl:lncRNA
AUCAUGAGUCCCUGUAUCUGCAUCCAGACUGACAGCGCUGUCUUUGCCUCCUGUCAACAGCUGCUGAGUCAAAGAUUGAAGCUGAUAAAAGCCUACCAGCAAGUAACGUUGGCAGCCUACCUUAACAACUCUGAUGAGCAACGACAUAUGGAGGACUCGCAUACCUUGGUGGAUCCCUUGUUAGCCACCCUUUGGUCAGUGCCAUUUUACAUGCAGCCAGCAGCACAGCAAUCCCAAAAUAUAUGGUGUGCUGCUUCAUAGCCACAGUUCCUCCAAUAUUCGAAGCCUCCAUCAUCAUAGUGUGCUGCAGUAAUAAAAAAAUGGGAACCAAUACACCACAGAUGGCUUCCUGAACCCUGAAACCCCAGUGUCCUCUGGUCAACACCUGUCUGCAGCACGCCGGCCAAGCCAGAGGUUUUCUGAUGUACAGCAGAAUGUGUGUUGUGUUGUAAAAAAAACUACAAGUGCCCAGGAUAAAACCAGAGAAUGUCAGAGACAGUACUGAGAGAGCUGGAGAGAAGCCCGCUGCCUCCAGUGGGAUCAGCAUGUCGUGGGCUUCCUUCCUGAGUGUGACAGGGC